rnacentral:lncRNA from 1 species
GAGCAUAUUUCACCAGCUACUGCAUCAUUGUUUCACAUUAUGAGUGAAAAUGCAAUUUUCUUUAUGCCACAACUUGCCCAAUUUUGUGUUUUGCAGUAGGAUGAUAGCAAUGCUAUUAAGGCACUUAAAUACUCAUGCAUAGUAGUAGAGAGAAAAAAUAAAUAAAAGUAAGAAAGCAGUGGCUUUUCGUGCGUAGACUAUGCAUACACGUGGUGCUCUUAUGGUCAUUUUUUCCCUAUCCGCUAAACCAUCCUAAACAAGAAAAGUUUAUACACAGACCACAACUAAACCACAGGUAUCGUUGGUAAGCAAAGUAUAUUUAUUUGGUGACAUUUUCUGCAGCCCUGCUAUUGAGCUUUCCUUCCUUCCUUUUCAGCUGUGCAGGUUCAUUAAGAAGUGAUGAUACAGUUUGACAAUUUUAAUCAUUGAAAGACUUAGCAAAACCUUUUUCGGGUUGUUUUUUCUUGGUUUCAGACUCUGCACAUUGCAUUUUAAGGCGUUUUCUGUGUUUGUUGCUUUUUCUUUAUGGGUAGGGCAUGUAAACAUUUUUUACACCAUGUCAAGUAUGUGGUGCCAUAGAUUGUUCUUAGAUGGAGUCUUGCCCUUUCAUUCUGUACAAUAUGGUGUCGGUUUUUUGUGUCCAAGGCUGUUUUACAUUUGAGUGUGAUUGUAGCAUUUUGCUGUUUUGCCUCUGUCACCCAAGCUUGAAAGAUUUCUACCCACUGGUGGUGGCAUGACACAUGUCACGUUUCUUUUUCAAUAAAAGGAAGUGUCACUUAUCCUGUGCACUGGU